GAUGAACGCUGGCUACAGGCUUAACACAUGCAAGUCGUGGGGAAACGGCAUUAUGUGCUUGCACAUUCUGGACGUCGACCGGCGCACGGGUGAGUAUCGCGUAUCCAACCUGCCCCUUACUUGGGGAUACCCCGUUGAAAGACGGCCUAAUACCCGAUGUGUUUCAUUGACGGCAUCCGAUAUGAAACAAAGGUUUUUCCGGUAAGGGAUGGGGAUGCGUCUGAUUAGCUAGUUGGCGGGGCAACGGCCCACCAAGGCGACGAUCAGUAGGGGUUCUGAGAGGAAGGUCCCCCACAUUGGAACUGAGACACGGUCCAAACUCCUACGGGAGGCAGCAGUGAGGAAUAUUGGUCAAUGGACGCAAGUCUGAACCAGCCAAGUAGCGUGCAGGAUGACGGCCCUAUGGGUUGUAAACUGCUUUUAUGUGGGAAUAAAGUGGCGCACGUGUGCGCCAU
rnacentral:rRNA from 1 species